UUGAAAACCCAAACCCGCCUCUUACGCACCGCCUCGCCGGACUGAGAAUCAAUUCCACCGCCGACGAGCAGGAGAAAGGUAACUCACGGUGCUGCAAAACCCUUGCCGCCGUCGUCGUCGUCGUCGUCAUCCUCUUGCUCCGACUGGAAAGAGAGUGUGUGUGUGUGUGUGUGUGUGUGUGUGUCUCUCUCUCUCUCUCUCUCCCCUCUAUUUUCCAUUGUCCUUCGCUCUUCGGUGGAAGCUUUGUUGUUUUUAUAGCUGCAAAAUCCCCUUUUGCCUUCUCUUUUGAACCUCUGGAAGUAGCCUCUGGCAUUAGAACUGUGAAAGGUGAUCAGCCAAAUUGGAAAUGUUUCAAUUUUGCACACAAAAGUAGGGACGCGCAUACCAACAACACUGUAAGAACACCAACAAAAAAUACUACCACAACCUAUACACAACAAGAGCAAUGGCUCACUGUAUGCCAGGCUUAAACCCUCAAAGAACCUUCUACCCUAAGGUUCCAAUUUCCACCUUUUCAACCCCUUCAAUCUUUUCCUUCAGAACCAAAAAUUCAAAGUUCAAGAACUUCUCAACUACUGUAUUGGCUAUGGCAGACUGGAAGCAACACCAAGACCGGCAACCUUUGUCCUUGGAUGCUUUGAUCAAUGGUGCUCGCAAAGAAGAGUUUAUGGGCCCUAUCAAGAAAACCUUGCCCAACUGUCUUUCGGAAACCAAUUUGCACCUCACAGUUCCUGGUCUCAAAUCUAAAACCAGAGGCAAGGUUAGAGAUAUUUAUGACAAUGGGGAUUAUUUAGUUUUGGUCACAACUGAUCGACAAAGUGCUUUUGACAGAAUUCUGGCUUCCAUUCCAUUCAAAGGGCAGGUUCUUAAUGAGACAAGUUUAUGGUGGUUUAACAAAACUGAACAUAUAACUCCAAAUGCAAUUGUUGCUGCUCCUGAUGAAAAUGUAACGAUUGCAACAAAAUGUUCAGUUUUCCCAGUUGAGUUUGUUGUUAGAGGUUUUGUAACUGGAAGUACCGAUACAUCAUUAUGGACAGUGUACAAGAAAGGCAUUCGAAAUUACUGUGGCAAUGUACUCCCAGAAGGCAUGGUUAAAAAUCAAAAGCUUCCUACAAAUAUUCUCACACCAACAACUAAGGCUGCAGAUCAUGAUGUUCCUGUGACUCCAGAUGAGAUUAUUAAUAGUGGACUCAUGACUCAAGCUGAUUAUGAGGAAGUAAGCAAGAAGGCAUUAAGUUUGUUUCAGUAUGGACAGCAUGUGGCCCAGGAACAUGGCUUGAUAUUAGUUGAUACCAAAUAUGAAUUUGGAAAGGGACGUGAUGGUUCCAUUUUUUUGAUUGAUGAGGUGCAUACACCUGAUUCAAGCAGAUACUGGAUUGCAAGUUCUUAUGAGGAACGCUUUCAGAAUGGUCUUGAACCUGAGAAUAUUGAUAAGGAGUUCUUGAGGUUGUGGUUCAAGGAUCACUGCAAUCCAUAUGAAGACAAGGUCCUUCCUGAUGCUCCUGAGGAACUUGUUAGUGAGCUAUCCUGGCGAUAUAUUUUCUUGUACGAGACAAUAACAAAGUUAAAAUUCAAAUUGCCAUCAACAGAGGAGCCGAUUCAUGAUCGGAUAUCUCGUAAUGUUGCACUUGCAUUGUCAUCUCUGAAGUGAUUUCAUCAUCUGAAGCAAAAAUUUUGUCUUACAAACGAUGAGUAUUUGGCGAAUUGAUCUUUUGACAGAAUUUUCUCAGGAGCGUUUUUAUAUGUUCCCUAUGGAUUGUGUCAAAACAAUAAAGUGAAAAACUAAGGCUUGUCAAUUUUUUAAAAGAGGUGAGGGGGGUUAAAAAAAUUGAAUAUAAAUUCAUCAUUUUUGGUUGUUGAAGCUAUUUUACGGACAUUAAUAAGGCUACCUGGAGUUUGUAAGCUAGAAAUAUUUUUUCUACUUUCUUUGUUUAAAGAAAAUUAUAAAUAAAAUCAAAAUAAAGUAGAAAUAUAAGAACAUAUGGUAUGUGAUAUUUAUUUUACAUAUAUUUGUUUUCAUUUUUCCUUUUUUAUUGCCAAAAAAAAAAAAAAAAAAAGCAAACGCACUAAGUUUUUCAGCUACAAAAUUUUCUUUGAAGGUUGUUUCUAGAAAAAUUAAAAAGAAUUAUUACAUAUAUGAGGUAUUUCUAGAUAUUAAGUUUUCAAAAGAAAUUGACAUAAUCCAUGAUCUGAGCUUGAGCGCUUUUUACAUAAAAUGAUAGUUUAUAAAUUUUCAUACGAGACAAAUAGAUGUAUAAUCUGCAUGUCAAGCAAUCUACUUUGUUCCAAAAUAAAAAAUCAGUUAUAUUAAAUUCCAGCUAAAAUAGAAGUUUUUGCAUAAUAGUUAGGAGAAAAAAAAAAAAAAAACAA